rnacentral:rRNA from 2 species
UAAGCGGAGGAAAAGAAACUAACAAGGAUUCCCCUAGUAACGGCGAGUGAAGCGGGAAGAGCUCAAAUUUGUAAUCUGGCCCUUUCAGGGUCCGAGUUGUAAUCUCGAGAAGUGUUUUCCGCGCCGGACUGCAUACAAGUCUGUUGGAAUACAGCGUCAUAGUGGUGAGAGCCCCGUAACUGAUGCAGAUGCCCGGUGCUUUGUGAUACACUUUCGAAGAGUCGAGUUGUUUGGGAAUGCAGCUCAAAUUGGGUGGUAAAUUCCAUCUAAAGCUAAAUAUUGGCGAGAGACCGAUAGCGAACAAGUACCGUGAGGGAAAGAUGAAAAGCACUUUGGAAAGAGAGUUAACAGUACGUGAAAUUGUUGGAAGGGAAACGCUUGAAGUCAGACUUGCUAUUCGGAAUUCAGCCGCAAGGUGUACUUUUCGAUUUGCAGGCCAGCAUCAGUUUUUGGGGGUGGAAAAGGGUGGAGAGAAGGUAGCAACCUCGGUUGUGUUAUAGCUCUUUACUGGAUUCAUCUUUGGGGACUGAGGAUCGCAGUGCGCAAUUCAUUUUGCAAACCUUUCGAGGUUUUCGUACUUAGGAUGCUGGUGGAAUGGCUUUAAACGACCCGUCUUGAAACACG